rnacentral:rRNA from 1 species
CAAGCGUUGUCCGGAUUUAUUGGGCUUAAAGAGCGUUUAGGCGGCCAGGUAGGUCCGUUGUGAAAACUCGAGGCUCAACCUCGAGACGUCGAUGGAAACCAUCUAGCUAGAGUCCGGAAGAGGAGAGUGGAAUUCCUGGUGUAGCGGUGAAAUGCGCAGAUAUCAGGAAGAACACCCGUGGCGAAGGCGGCUCUCUGGGACGUGAAUGACGCUGAGACGCGAAAGCGUGGGGAGCGAACAGG